UAAGCCAUGCGAGUCAACGUAGCAAUACGUGGCAUACGGCUCAGUAACACGUAGUCAACAUACCUAGGAGACGUGGAUAACCUCGGGAAACUGAGGAUAAACCGCGAUAAGUCAUAUUUUCUGGAAUGAUUUAUGGCUGAAAUCUAUAAGGCUCUUGGAUUGGACUGCGGCCGAUCAGGCUGUUGGUGAGGUAAUGGCCCACCAAACCUGUAACCGGUACGGGCUCUGAGAGGAGAAGCCCGGAGAUGGGCACUGAGAAAAGGGCCCAGGCCCUAUGGGGCGCAGCAGGCGCGAAACCUCUGCAAUAGGCGAAAGCUUGACAGGGUUACUCUGAGUGGUUUCCGCAAAGGAAAUCUUUUGGCACCUCUAAAAAUGGUGCAGAAUAAGGGGUGGGCAAGUCUGGUGUCAGCCGCCGCGGUAAUACCAGCACCCCGAGUGGUCGGGACGAUUAUUGGGCCUAAAGCAUCCGUAGCCGGUUCUGCAAGUCUCCCGUUAAAUCCACCUGCUUAACAGAUGGGCUGCGGGAGAUACUACAGAGCUAGGAGGCGGGAGAGGCAAGCGGUACUCAGUGGGUAGGGGUAAAAUCCGUUGAUCCAUUGAAGACCACCAGUGGCGAAGGCGGCUUGCCAGAACGCGCUCGACGGUGAGGGAUGAAAGCUGGGGGAGCAAACCGGAUUAGAUACCCGGGUAGUCCCAGCUGUAAACGAUGCAGACUCGGUGAUGAAUAGACUUAGUGUUUAUUCAGUGCCGCAGGGAAGCCGUUAAGUCUGCCGCCUGGGGAGUACGGUCGCAAGACUGAAACUUAAAGGAAUUGGCGGGGGAGCA
rnacentral:rRNA from 1 species